rnacentral:rRNA from 1 species
UACGUAGGGUGCAAGCGUUAAUCGGAAUUACUGGGCGUAAAGCGUGCGCAGGCGGUGAUGUAAGACAGUUGUGAAAUCCCCGGGCUCAACCUGGGAACUGCAUCUGUGACUGCAUCGCUGGAGUGCGGCAGAGGGGGAUGGAAUUCCGCGUGUAGCGGUGAAAUGCGUAGAUAUCCGGAGGAACACCGGUGGCGAAGGCGGCUUCCUGGACCGACACUGACGCUGAGGCGCGAAAGCUAGGGGAGCAAACGGG